GACGAACGCUGGCGGCGUGCCUAAUACAUGCAAGUCGGACGCAGUUGCGAACGGGUGAGUAACGCGUAGGUAACUGCCUGUUAGAGGGGGAUAACUAUUGGAAACGAUAGCUAAUACCGCAUACUAGUAGAUGGACCUGGGUUGUGUUGGGUAGUAGGUCGGGGAAUGGCCUCCCUAGGCGACGAUACAUAGCCGAGCUGGUGGGGUGAUCGGGCACACUGGGAACUGAGCACGGGCCAAGCUCCUUCGGGAGGCAGUCAGUGGGGAAUUUCGGCAAUUGGGGGAACCCUUGCCGCGCAACGCCGCGUGGGCGAAGGAGGGUUUCGGAUCUUUAAGCUCUGUUGUUAAGGAAGCGUUACUUAACCAGAAAGCGACGGCUAACUACGUGCCAGCAGCCGCGGUAAUAC
rnacentral:rRNA from 1 species